rnacentral:rRNA from 1 species
UACGUAGGGGGCAAGCGUUGUCCAGAUUUAUUGGGCGUAAAGAGCGUGUAGGCGGCUUGGUAGGUCCGCUGUGAAAACUCGAGGCUCAACCUCGAGAUGUCGGCGGAAACCACUUGGCUAGAGUCCGGAAGAGGAGAAUGGAAUUCCUGGUGUAGCGGUGAAAUGCGCAGAUAUCAGGAAGAACACCCGUGGCGAAGGCGGUUCUCUGGGACGGUACUGACGCUGAGACGCGAAAGCGUGGGGAGCGAACAGG